UACCCCCUGCAAUGGGCCAAGAGACACCCUGUGGGUAAUGGUGUUCUCACAUCGGUCAGGGCAGAGCAGCUGGCAGUCCUCUGUUCAUCCUAGCUUGAUGCCUGGCUUGGUGGCCAAAGCUCUCUUAUGCCUAGGACACAUAA